rnacentral:misc_RNA from 1 species
CAAAAGUGUUGAUGUGGAAACGUCUGGGGAAAAGAAAAGGCUCCAAAUACUGCAUCAAUUUGGUGUUCUUGUGGUGAAAGAGAGAUGGAGAAAUCACUUCUUGAUGUCCUUUGCCAGCUUGAUUGCAAUGCCAGGUGUCGGUUCAUGGGAGUUCAUGUUUAUGCCACAUGGGAUUCUGUACAGAGACAUUGAUGUGGGAAAUGUGUUGAACUUUGAUGUUUACUUUAGUUUUGAUCAGUUUGGUUUGGUACUCUUGUGGGGUG